UUUUCCAGAUGGGAAAAUGAAGAUGGUGCUUAUCAAACCAGGUUGAUAUCCAGAGAGUUCUGCUGCUUUGCCCCCAGAUCAGCACCACCUGGACUUGUCUGUCUUCUAGAAUGCCAGGAUGUUGUUAGGAGUAUGUAGAAGACCUGGGUCAUCAAAAAUGUAUCAAGACCUGACAUAGUUAACUGUGAAGACUUCUUUCCACUUAUCCCCUCAGUUUAGUAGUACAGCCAUGUUUUCAGGCAUGGGAAAUGGUUAGUCGUCUGCAAGGGCUUUAUCAAAAUGAUAAUAGAACAUAGGGCUCAGACCUUCAACAAGUGUGAACUUCUACAGCUUCAAAGAAGCUCUGCUGACAGCUGACCUUGGAUGAUUUACAUCAGGUGAAAAUCUACUUAUUUCAACAAAAAUACCUUAGAUAAAACACAUGGAAUAGAGAAAUGGUUCUAGCACACAGUGGAAUUAAAAUCAGAAGUGGAAGAGAAGAGGAGCACUGGCAGUUCCUAGUAUCCUGAAGACUGCAGCCAAACCAGCAAAGAUUUGAGGAAAUGACUCAUAGUACUCAGAAGAAAGAAAAACAUCAUAGUGAUGGCAAGCAAAGCUAGGUUAAUGUAACCAUACUGUUGAAGUCAAGUUUACUAGCCCACAGAGGCAGAGACAGGAAGCAUUGAAAUGACUGAAUUACAUUCCUAAAACGAGUCUGUAAUAGUGUUUUAUCAGGUUAGUGACUGUAAGUGGCCAAGAACUUCAGUGACAUGAAGGAAUACCUUUUUCUCUUGGACAUUUUUACACAGACAUGCUGAAGUAAAUGAAUUUGCACAUGCAACAGAUUAAGAUUUGAUCCAGUCAUGGUAGUGUAUCAAAUACUCAUUGGUAAUACCAUGAAGCAAGUUUUUCACUUAGCCUGACUCCCAAUCUUGCUAUUUUUUUAAAAUGUUAUUUAAAAAUAUAUAUGUUGAUGAUUUCUGGACUAAUCUUUGUAUUACUGCUGUUAAAAAAAAAAAAAAAGGAAAAUUAUGUAAGAUACUGAUUACAUAGGAAUGUUUGACUUAUUGCAUUAAUGGGUUACAAAUAGUAAAGACAAAUCUGGAUUUAUACUGUAAACACAAAGAUAUGUGGAUAUAGAGUUCAUCUGAAAACUAUAGCCUGGGCCAUAAUUUUUACAUUUAUUUCCUAAUUAGAAUAAUGUUUUUAAUGGUAUUUUUUGUGAACAAUUGGUGUUGCCCUUAGCCUCCAAGUGUAGUGUGGCUGUGGGUAGCAGGGCUGCCUGACUGAGAGCUGUUCUUUUACUUCUUUCAAAGGAGCAGUCAGGUAAUGAAUGGACAGGAGGCAGUGGGCACAGGUUGGCACUCACAGUCCUGAACAGAUUGUCCUUGGGACAUGACCAUGAGCAGCCUGUUUUAAUUGGCACUGUUUUGAACAUGGGACUGUGGGCUUGCCCUUCAGAGGCCACUUUCCACUUAAUUUCGUCCAUUUUCCUCUUUUCUGCUAUUUACAUGACUUGUAUACAGAUUGCUUUUUUUCUGAAUUUGCUUUUCAAACAGUUGUAUAGUCUUAUUCUAGAUGCUUACUCCAUACCACAGUUUUCUAAUUAGAAGGAUGUUAUGUGGAACUUCAUUAAAGGCUUAUCGUAAUAUUAUUCUGAGAUACACUACAUUUGCUAGCUUUCCUUGUGGAAAGCUGUAACAUGUUAUUGACAAAUCUGGCUAUUCUUUAUGCCCUAUGUGUUUUAAAAUUACUCAUUUGUUCUGGUAUACAUUUGGUUAUAUAUUUCCAAUCUCACUCUUCCUGCUUUUGAGAUUAGUGCUGUGCUCUUGCAUUAUUUUGAUUUUCACAUUUUCUGUGAGGAUCGUGGUUCAUGUUUUUUUUGGUUUUCCCCUGCUUUUUUUAAUAUGUUGACUGAUGUAUCACCUGCAGGGAGUGAUAGUUGCUGUCUUUAGGAAAUACAGCACCUCUGCCGUGACAACUGGAUCUGCUCCUUUUGUUUUGUGUAAUGCAUUGACUCCUACAGACGAGGGCAUGGGGACAGACUUAGGCUUGGCAGGAAAGUACUGUUUGCUAAGAGGCAGCAACUUGUCUCUUCCCUAAAGCUAAAUGUUCCAGACACCAAGUAAAUAGUAUUCUCUUGUAAGGUUGACCACACUAAUACAAUAUUUUUCUGCUGAGCAAUUUUCUGUCAGCAGAAGGGACAGAUCUGAUUUGCAGAAUCAGAUCAGAUUUCCAAAAUGCUAAGCUGGAGACUGUUGGGAUUGUCUUUCUGAAUUUAGUUGGUGUAGGUCAGUAUAUUUAAAAAUGGGAUUC